UCCCUGACUGCUGUGGAAGCAACUGGGCUAGAUACUUAGGACUGAAAAUUAUUUAGUCUGGCAAGCAAUCAGGAGAAUAUUUUCAGAAUAAAAAAUCAAACUCACACUUCCGGAAAGACAGGAUAUGAAGAUGUAGAUCACUGAUUUCUGUGUCCCUGUUCUGAUGAGCAGAAGUGCCAAAAGAGCCCUUUGUUUUACCACCAAUCUCAGGCUGACAUUGCCAUCAUUCAGGUCCAAGUGACAUUGAUUUGUUAGGAUUGCUUUAUAAGCGAGCAAGGCAAUGAAAAACACUAUUUUACAUUUUCUACAGCUAAACAGGUUUUCCAGAGAAAUCCAGAGAAGAUGGGCCUGCCUCUCAGCCACCUGAAAACACCAUCUGAAGGCUGCUGGGCAGACUGGAGCCCACAUUAUCAUCAUCAUUCCUGGGACACUUGCACAGGACAAACUGGGGGCGCCCCAAUCCUCCAGCUGUCUGGCAAAGCUGCUCCACUGCCCUGACAGAAACAUGGAAGGCUCAUUAGGGCAAGACCUUAUCAUUCCCAUCUACGAGCAGCCUUGGAAUAAAUCCAGAAGAAAACAAGAUGAUUUUUUUUUUUUACUCCAGAUGCUUAUAGCACACAAUCCUGUAGGGGUACAAAAGUCAAGGCUUGUUUGUAGGGGCCAAGGGAGCCCAGCUAUCUCCAAGAGCAAGGCCCUCAGGGCACUGAAGUGGUUGGGCAGGUGGACGUGUUUGGGCAGGGGAAUGGGUUAGUGCCACCUUUUUCCGUGCUAUGGGGCAACAUUAUGGCAUCCAUGUGGGCUUUUAAAAAUAGCUUUGGCUGCGCCGAGACAGCAGUAUGUGGGAGGGAGGGUGCGCCAGGCUGCAGCUGGACUUCACCCUCACACCAAAGCGGCCGCGCUGCCAGGGGUGGGGAUGGAAAGCGGGGCCCGGGGUGGGCGGGGUGUGUAUGUGCGUGCCUGUGAGUUAAAUUACUACUUUUAAAAAUAUGGAUUUAUUUUUAUUCCCUGGUGCAGACCGGGGCGGGCUUUUUCCCCUCAGGAUCUUGCGAUCGCUGCGCUCCUUUCCCCGCCCCCCGCCAGGGCAGACGGGCGGCCGCCGUACCUGGCGCCCUGGGCCCGGGAGGAGCCGGCCCGGCCCCGACGGCACCGGCGCCCAGCAGUCCGCGUGCUUCGUGCUGAAGGACGAGCCAUGGGGCAGGCGAUCCAGCAAACGAACGCAACUUUCCUGCGCGAUGUCUGGGACACUUGUUAGGCACUUGUGUGCGUGGGGACAGUUCCCGUUCGCUGCGUGA
rnacentral:lncRNA from 1 species